AGGGGCAAGCACCUGCCCUUCUCAUUGCAGGCUUUGCAGCUAGUUUGCUCGGAAUACAUCGGUUUUCCCCCUCUGACAUACAGGUGCAGCAGAGGGAAGUGGAAUAAGGGCGAUACAGAGCGAGCGAGCUGCACAAAGGUAAAACGGGACUGCAUGUCUUUGUGUGGCUCCUGGUUUUAAGGGGGGUGGGGAGGGAAGGGAAGGUUCUGCCUGUUAAUUAGGGAGCGAUUGGAAAGUAAGGGGUUGCAAAAAGAAGCAGCAGCUGAAAAAAGGGGAGUGAGGGGAGAAGCAGGAAGGGAAAGAAAAGAUUAGGUAAGGAGAGAAUCAGAAAGAGGAAGGGAGACAGAAAAGUGCAGAAGGGCAGAGAAACAGGGAAGGAAAGAGGCAGGGAGAGAGAGGAGUAGAAAAGUAGAGAGUGAAGGGGAGAGGCAGACCCUCGCCCCCUUGUGCUGUGCAAGCCUAGUGGUGCCUCCUUUCUGGUGACUCUGGCUAGCUCCUCCAUAUUAUGUCUGCACUCCGAAGGAAAUUUGGGGACGAUUACCAGGUAGUGACCACCUCUUCCAGUGGCUCAGGCUUCCACCAGCAGCAAGCAGCAGCAGCUGCUCCUAGAAGAAAGAGGCAGCGAUUUGUGGACAAGAAUGGUCGUUGCAAUGUGCAGCAUGGCAACUUGGGCAGCGAGACAAGCCGCUACCUGUCGGACCUGUUCACCACCCUGGUGGACCUCAAGUGGCGCUGGAACCUCUUUAUCUUCAUUCUCACUUACACUGUGGCCUGGCUCUUCAUGGCCUCCAUGUGGUGGCUCAUCGCCUACAUGCGGGGUGAUCUGAACAAAGCUCAUGAUGAUAACUACACUCCCUGUGUGGCCAAUGUCUACAAUUUCCCCUCUGCCUUCCUGUUCUUUAUUGAAACUGAGGCCACCAUUGGCUAUGGCUACCGCUAUAUCACUGACAAAUGCCCCGAGGGUAUCAUACUCUUCCUCUUCCAGUCCAUCCUGGGCUCUAUUGUGGAUGCCUUCCUCAUUGGCUGCAUGUUUAUCAAGAUGUCCCAGCCUAAGAAGCGGGCAGAGACACUGAUGUUCAGUGAGCAUGCUGUCAUCUCCAUGCGGGACGGCAAACUUACCCUUAUGUUCAGGGUAGGCAACCUUCGCAACAGCCACAUGGUCUCCGCGCAGAUCCGCUGCAAGCUACUUAAAUCUCGGCAGACACCUGAGGGCGAGUUCCUCCCCCUCGAUCAACUUGAACUGGAUGUAGGUUUUAGCACAGGGGCAGAUCAACUUUUUCUUGUUUCCCCACUUACAAUCUGCCAUGUGAUUGAUGCCAAAAGCCCCUUCUAUGACCUCUCUCAGCGAAGCAUGCAAACUGAACAGUUUGAGAUUGUCGUCAUCCUAGAGGGCAUUGUGGAAACAACUGUGGUAUUCCUAACUAAUAUGAUGUAAAUGAUGAUGACUAUGGUUCCUAAGUGCCCUGCUGCCCACCUUCCAUUAUUGUGAGAGGUUGGGAUAUCUCCUUGAAGAACCAGGAUCAAUAGGCAUGGACUUCACUCCUUCGUCCAUGAAAUUCUCUCUCAGUGACAUGCAGGUUCCCAGAAGAUGAUUCCACUGGAAACCCUCUCAAACUUUCAGAACCUUCCCUCAAUUUAAAGCUCACCCGAUUUCUUGACCUGUAUCUUGGUGGGUUGUCCUGCUAACCUAAUGAUGCACAUCUUUUUGGACGAGACCUAUAAAUUUUCAGAUGCCUCACUCUCUUCAGAGGAUCAGCACAGGGGGUGACACAGUACAAAAUGCUCAGUGACAAUACUACAACAAUAUACCUUGUCAACAAACAGGGAGAGACAUCAGAGAACACCUUUAUGAUCCAAAAAAUAGAGACUACAAACAAAGCAGAAGACUUCUCACAGUUGCUCUCCGCAUAAUACUGUUAUAGAAGGCUAGACUAGGUUAGUGUUUGAGAAGAGGUGAUGGGAAUAGGUGGGAAAGCUGUCCCACUUAAACAGGGAGGGAUAGAAAAAUUAGAAGAGUUUUCUCCUUUGGGAAGGGAAGCAGGACUCCAAUUAUGGGGGAGUGGGGUAAAAGAGCAUAGGAAGUACAAACUACAAAUAUAUGUAUCUUCUGAACCUCUGUGCAGACCAGUACAUUUCAGUAUACCUUUUCUGUUCUAAAGGCUGUAACCAGAAUGGCUAGAACACUGGAAGAUGCACAGGGAAGUGGACUUAGAUUAUCAUAUUUAUGUCUCUCCCAUCUGUAAUUUUUAAGUUAUGAAUUAUCAGGAGAAAAUCCAAGUUGGUGGUCUUUGUGUGGCAGCUCUGUAAAUCUCAGCUAAUAGCUGAAUUAUGAAUUUACUGUAAUUCCUUCCUGCCAUGUAGGGAAAUAUAACCCCUUUGUCAGGUACUUUUCCAUCCACCCACUCAUCUGUGAGACAGAAGCAAAAUAAAUUAGGCAGAUCUUCCAUUUCUUUAUUCCCAUCUGCUAAAUCCUAGUCUGUCACUUUUUUAAGAGGGUCUAUUUCUGUUACCUUCUGUCUAAUGUUAAUGCAUUUGGAAAGUGCUGAACUGUGAUCGCCUUUAUUGAAAGGACUAAUAGACUCUGAGUAUGUAAUCAUAUCUGGCACAUCACAAUAAUAUUUGGUGGUUUCAUGAUGUGACACUUACAUUGCAGAGGAUGUAAUCCUUUUUGUCCUUGAAAAGCUUUUGUGUAAUUUUUACUCAUCUCCCAAUUCUGUUCCUUAACUCACAUGUUGUUACAGUACAUGUUUAAAUUGUGGAUAAAAGCUUAUGCUAAGGAAAUGCUUUGGGAACAUGAAAAAGUAGGUUGCCAACAUUUUUGGAUUAUUCAAAGAAAGCUGCAAAACAAUUCCAUGUGGUUCUGCCAGGUUCAUCAACCCUAUCUCAGAUGCCUACUUCUGAGGUGUUUGGGGCCAAAUUUUGCUAUUACUGCUGUAAAUCUGGAGUAGCGCUAUUGAAGUUAUGGCGUUAUUCUAGGUUUACAUUGAAGUAACUGAAUGAUUAGUACUCUCUUCAUUUUUUCUGUUCUUUUCUUCUUCUUGGUAUUUGAAGUUCAGCUUAGCAUUACUUUGCUUCUCAAAGAUUGUGCAAAAUUUGAAGGAAAAAAAAAAAAGGAACAGCUAAAGUGCUCAAGAGUGGCCAUGACUCGUGAGGGUAAUUUCUAAUAGUUAAGGACCUGAAAAUCAUCAUUUUAUAUAUCUAUAUAUAUCUAUAUAUAUCUAUAUCUAUAUAUAUAGUCUCCAAAGUAUGAAGAUACCCUCAUAGAUGAUGAUGUACAAGUUUUUGAAGUGCCCACAAAGCAUUUCUUUUCAAAAUUGACUGAAGUACUGUCCCAUUUUUGUGAAACGUUGCUGUAAUAAAGAUUUUUUUUAGACAUCUGCUGUUAAUAUAGGAAUAGCAAAACUUCAAGAAAUUGGCUAGAGAGAAAUAAUGUUUGAGUCUUAUAUUGGAUUUCCAUCAGAGGCCUCAAUUACUACGUAUACUUAGGAGCCCAUAUCCUUUAUAAAUUGCAGUAUUAUCCUGCAACUUACUGAUAAGCUACUGAAAGUGUUACAAAGCAUUUCAUCAGAAUCUGAAACAUGUCGGUGCCUAGUAGGAAACUGGUUCAUGAAUUCAUUCUUAAAGCUUAUUAAAUGUUAUUUUGAAAAUGUUUAAACAGUAUCUUCUGAGCACAGAAAUCAAACAACCUGUCACAUAUUAAUCAAAAAAGUUAGAAUAUAACUGAAAGCAUAUUUUUCAUUGUUGAUAUAUAUAUAAAAAACACGUUUUCUGAAUGAUGAAAAUUUAGAUAUCCCCUUAAAAGAGCUUUCUGAAAUAUAAAUUCCUUUCUAAUAAAAAAAUGCCUAAGUGAUCAAUGAAG